UUAGCCUUCUAUAUUUGGGUGAAACCAACAAUAUGUCAGAUUCUAUAAAAAUACAAUAAUUUGGGGUUACGUGAUAGCCGUUAUGGCCGUUAUAAGGGUUUUGAGCGUUUUGAGCGACCCGUGGUCAGUAACAGCUCGGAUCGCCCGGAUCAGAUAAACACGAACAGUGCCACAGAGAGGUUAGGUUAAACUGCAGUGGAGAGUGUAGUGUUGCACAAAAAUUACAGACAGUGGACGGAAUCGCGGUUGACUUGGUUAAGAUACUCUCAUAUUUGAAGUCUUCCCAACAUUCGGUAACUGGCAAUGUGGUUUAGAGCGUUUAGAGGACUCUAGCCCAGUGUGGUGCGGCAAUUGAAGGAUGAAUGUGGUGAGAUUUUAACAGUUCCAAUACAGAAGAAUGUAAGCUUGCUGGACCUGAAAAUCGUUGAACUGUGAACCAUCAUUAUAGUGAAGAGUGUUGUUAUUAUCAAUAUAUGGAUUGGAGUGAAAUUCCUGUUUGGCUUAUUGGAGUGGUGCCUCAGUUGGAAAAGCAUGAUUACUCAAUGCAGUCCAUGGGAUAAACCUGCUUGGACUUAAUCAGAGGUGACAUUGAGGAGGGGAUAGGUAAUAACAAGCCAUUACGGGUAUGUAAAGACAGUUAAGUAAAUUGUUCUUAUUAUCUGAAUUAUUACAGAAAGAUUGUACUCUUUGCAGUUUGAAACUUCUGUAGAAUUUGUAUGAAGUUUUCCCACUGUAGCCUGCCAAGUUUAAAAUUUGAAUCUGCAAGAAUCUGUUAUGGGUGAGUGUAAAAAUAAGUUUAAAAUAUGCUAAAAGUAUAUAUCAUUAUUUUUUAUUUUCACUGUUCAUUGUAAAUUGAUCUUCACAGAUUAUACAAAUAACAUCUAACAUAAUUUUUAUUGUGUAUUGUUAUAACUACCAACUUUAUAUGCUUUCAGAAAUGACAUAAAUUCAGCACCACAGAUACAUAAAUGGCUUUGCAUUUCUGUAUAAUGAAAUGUGUCAUGUUUCCACUUUCUAGCAUUAGACCUUUAACUGCCAUGUUCAAGAAUUCUUUGGUUGACUGUGACAUUCAUGGAUUGUCAGUCCUAAGUGUACUCUCUUUGAACUUGGUAUUGUAGUACUCAUUUUUGUUUCUAAUUCUGUUGUGAGUGAUCAAUAAAGUAUCUUCAUUGAAGCAUAUUGUGGCUCUUCAUUCAUUUAUUCAAACCAUUAUCCUUGUAAUAUUUUGGUAUUUUUGUCUGUAAAUAUGUAACAGAAACAUUAUCACUGUUUGUUCUUAGACUGAAUUUAAAAAAAAAACAGUAGUCAUGAUUUCUGCGUUUGUUAGUAAAUGGUAAAUGCACUAAAUAUCUUUUAGUGAAAAUGUUAUUUGGGUAUGAAGGGACCUUGUCUUUUAUUGUGUGCAUGUUUCAUCUGCCAUACUUCAUAACAGGUUUCAGAUAAACUAUUUUCAGAAGCCUGCACCGAAAAUUGUUGGGUUGAUUCAUGUCUAUUCAUAUUUGUCCAUUAGAACCACUUCUUGGACCACUUAGCAGUGGGAUAAUACUUCGGAACCCUGUUUGAGACAUGUGUGUCUGCAGUUUACUGUCCUUUGCUGUCCUGUGUGUGUAUGUGCAUUGUGAUGGGACAGUCCACCAUCCAAGGAGACCUGCCAACUCUGAAUGACUUUUUGAAUUAAUUCUGCAUCUGAGUUUGCCUAGUCCGUGAAUAAUAAAGAUGUAGAAGGUGACUGGCUACUUUGUUUGAAGUGACAUAUUUUGGUUAUUCUUUGUUAAUUAAUAAUGGUAAUCAAAAAUAUUUUAAGUAGAAGGACAGAAUUAAAGAAAGAUACACUUAACAUUAAUGUAGAACACAUUUUAAAUUCCAGUUACUGCUUUCCAGAAUAGUACUGGCUUAUGAUUCUGUCUUGAGUGUUCUGCACAAAUGAUGAGUGUAAAUGAAAUUUCUUAUGGAUAUGAAUUAAUUAUUGGUGAAAAUAACAGCACUCAAUCAUUCCCGUCACAAUCAUUAGUUCAGUUAUGGUAGUCAUAAUUUGCAGAUUUAAUUACUAUUAUCAUGCCACAUGUUAUUAAUAAAAUCAAACUUAUAUGCGCAUGGUAAAAAAAUCCAGUAUUGCAUCACAGAUGCAGAUUAAAUGCAUGGCAGUUAGAAGGUUAAUGAGUUAAACUUCUUAAAAAAUAUAACAAGGACAAGAAAUUAGAAGAACCACUGGAGGUAGACAAAUAUUUCAACAGUGUACCAAUUAUAACAACUAUACACAUAAUUUAAACUAAAAAUUACAAUCACGUAGUCCCCCAUUUUAACAAAAAAUUAAAAAACAGCACAUUAUGACCACCAUGUAGGCUACUUUUUAUAUAUUUAUAUCUACAUAUUAUAUAUACGUUAUAAAUUUUAAUAAAUCUCUAUUUUUGCAAAUAUUUAUUCAUAUAGUCAACCCCUACACAUACACAAUUUUAUGACAUUGAAAAAUGAAUCCAUUUUCAUCAUGUAAUUCAGCAUAAAUGUUAUAUAUUUAAUUGCUUUUAUUCUUACACACCUGAUGAUGGUCAGAAGAGAUCCAAACAUAGUGUGAUUAAUAUUGUAGCGUGUUGUGUGUGUUACAAUAUAAUAAACUGAUCCAGUUAGUGGUUUCACAUAAUAUCAUUUUAUUAUACAAUAAUCAAAAUGUAGCUUGAUAGUACUAAAAGUUUAUAUUCUUAAAAUA